AGAAGAAAAAAGAAGAAGAAGAAGAAGAAGAAGAAGAAGAAGAAGAAGAAAGAGGAGAGGAGGAGAAAGAGAAAAGAAAGAAGAAAUAGAAGAAGAGGAGGAGAAAGAAGAAGAAGAAGAAGAAGAAGAAUAAGAAGAAGAAGAAGAAGAAGAAGAAGAAGAAGAAGAGAAGAAGAAGAGAAGAAGAAAAAUUAAGAAGGAGAAGAAGACAAAAAAGAAGAAGAAGUUGACUUUUUAUUGUUUGGUAUUUUGUGGUAGCUAGAUUCUUUUUUAGUUACUUAGUGGUAGAUUAUGUUUUGUUAUUUUUUUGCUGUUUAGUGCUAUCUAGGUUUAGCGAUAGGUUUAGUUAGCUUGGUUAGUUUGGUUAGUUAGUUAGUUAGCUUACUAGA
rnacentral:lncRNA from 1 species